CACGUAGGGGGCGAGCGUUGUCCGGAUUUAUUGGGCGUAAAGAGCUCGUGGGCGGCUCAGUAAGUCAGGUGUGAAAACUCCAGGCUCAACCUGGAGACGCCACCUGAUACUGCUGUGGCUAGAGUCCGGUAGGGGAGCAUGGAAUUCCUGGUGUAGCGGUGAAAUGCGCAGAUAUCAGGAGGAACACCGGUGGCGAAGGCGGGUCUCUGGGCCGAUACUGACGCUGAGGAGCGAAAGCGUGGGGAGCAAACAGG
rnacentral:rRNA from 1 species